rnacentral:lncRNA from 1 species
CCGAUGUCGUUGCUCAAGUGUGAUGGUCUACAAGUCCUUGACGUGGGGAACAAUGCUAUAAAUGACACAUUUCCAGCUUGGCUCGGAACUCUUCAAGAGCUGCAGGUCCUUAUAUUAAAGUCGAACAAGUUCCAUGGACCUAUAAGUACUAGGAAGAAGUUUUACUUUCCCAGGUUGCGGAUAUUUGAUCUCUCUCAAAAUGAGUUCAGUGGCUCACUGCCUGCAGAAGUUUUUCGAAACUUCAAAGCGAUGAUCAAAUUAGAUGACAGAGAGGAAGGCGAGAUCAAAUAUAUGAGUCAAUAUUUGAAUGGACAUUCAAUAUAUGAGGAUUCAGUGAGGUUGGUGAUCAAAGGCCAGUAUAUGGAUCUAGAAAGAAUCAGCACAAUUAUGACAGUCAUAGAUCUGUCAAACAACCAUUUUGAAGGUGUGAUUCCGAAAACACUAAAGGAUCUCAGCUCACUUUGGCUACUCAAUUUAUCCCAUAACAAUCUCAAAGGUGAUAUCCCAAUGGAAUUGGGGCAAUUGAAUAUGCUUGAUGCCUUAGAUCUCUCCUGGAAUCGGCUCACUGGAAAGAUUCCGCAGGAAUUGACAGAAUGAACUUUCUGGCAUUCUUAAACCUCUCUCAAAAUCAUCUUGUCGGACCAAUUCCUCAAGGUCCACAAUUCAACACAUUUGGAAAUGACUCGUAUGGUGGAAACCUUGAUUUAUGUGGUCCUCCUUUAUCAAAGAAAUGUGGAACGAGUGAUCCAUCACAUGCUCCUCAGCCAUUGGAGUCUGAAGAAGAUGAAGAUGAGUCAUAUUUCUUAAGUGGAUUUACGUGGGGAUCUGUAGUCAUAGGCUACAGCUUUGGACUCAUUGUUGGAACUGUCAUGUGGAGCCUCAUGUUUAAAUAUUGUAAGCCAAAAUGGUUUGUGGAAUUUUUUGAAGGCAUUUUCCCCAAGAAAAUGAGAAGGUCAAAGAAGAGAAGGCCGAGACAGCAGAUUUAAUUGAAGAUUGAAAGAGCCAGUUGUCUUUGGAUAAUGAGUAAUGUUGGAAUUAUCCCAUUAAUAUUAUGCUUUAGUAUUUAUUUGAAUUUGUUUUCUCUUCUUAAUUUUCUGUUUGUUGUAUGUAUAUGUUUUGAUAGCAACUUAUAUGUGUUAUUUUAAGGGGAAAUAACCUCUUUCUGCAUUUUGUUCUGUUAAUGAGCGAACAAAGUUUCAUAUUGGUAGUUGAAAAGAAAAAUAAAUUACCAAGUGUCAUCAGAAUUCUAGUAAUUUUAUGUCCUCUGAAAUCAUCUAAAAAGUACCGAAUCGUGUUGCAAACGUUUGAUCACUCCAUUUGCUACACCUUAUCUUGAGUCAAUUUGUAUACGCAAACAAGCUUUCUACCUUCCUAAUGUAAAGGUAAAAGCUGCGUACACACCACCCAUCCCAAACCCCAUUUACGUUGUUGUUGUUAUCACAUUGUUUCACUUAGAAAAACACUUUUGUUAAGAUGACAAAUUAAACCUAAAGAAUAAGGAGCAAACCAGUUGUUCCAAUUAGUUUAUUGUUUAUCUUCUGUACGAAAUUCAUAUUGAAUGAUUUUUUAAAAAACUAUUUGAUGUCAGAUUAUUACAUAUUGGAAUAGAAUAACAUCAAGUUGUUACAUGGCUGUGCCCAACUUGUCAAUAUAAUAGGGGACAAGUAUCAACUUUUGCCCCAUUAAGUUUUUUCUACUACAACUAGGCAGAAAAUUGAUGUGAAAAGUCUAGUUGAAAUUUAUAGAAUGUACCUAACAAGUUUGAAAACAGCACAACAGACAACUAAUGUCAUUAUUGUUCAUUUAUUAUAUUUUCUCAAUUAUUGUGGAGAAACAGAAGACGAGAUGUUGAUGGAGAGUUGGACAAAGUUGACUUAAAACAGGAGUUCAAAUAUCUAUAAAAAUAUAUAUAGAUUUUGUUAGAACAGAACACUCUGUUAUAUGCUGAAAGCAAAAAAAUGUGGCCUCUCUUUUUCAUUUAUUCACUUUUCUGUUGUGUAUUUCUAAGUCUAAGUUUUUCUUCAUCCUUUGAUCAUCAUCUUUGCUCUCCCAGUGAAGCUUCUGCUUUGCUUCAGUUUAAGCAUUCCUUUAAUAUAUUGGACUUCUCCCCGUGUGAUACGUCUUUCCCAAAAACAGUUUCAUGGAAUGAGAGUAACGAUUGCUGCACUUGGGACGGGGUCACUUGUGACAUGUUAAACGGUCAUGUUAUCGGGUUGGAUCUUAGUUGUAGUCAGCUUAAUGGAACUAUUUAUCCCAACAGCAGCCUCAUCCAACUUCAUCAUCUUCAGACACUAAACCUUGCUAAGAACUACUUUUAUCCUUCUACGAUUCCAAAUGACGUUAGCCGGUUGAGGAAUUUGAAGCAUCUCAACCUUUCUGAUGCUUACUUUCAAGGGGAAAUCCCAACAGAAAUCUCAUACCUUUCCAAUUUGGUUUCACUUGAUCUUUCUGUUCCUUCUUAUGUGAACGGAUUACAAUUUGAUCAGAGAGCAUUUAAAGCAGUGCUUCAGAACUUGACAAAUCUAGAGGUACUUUCUCUCUUUGGUGUCAACGUCUCAUCUCCGAUACCUGUAAAUUUGUCUUCCUCCUUAAGGUACGUCGAUCUUAAGGUAACAAAUUUGGAAGGUGUUCUCACGGAGAGCGUUUUCCUUCUGCCAAAAUUGGAAACGCUCUAUUUGAGUAAUAACUAUCUUCUCAAAGGAGUUUUACCAAAGAUCCAUCCAAGCAGCACAUUGUUGGAGUUGGAUAUUUCAUACACAGGAAUCUCCGGUGAGCUGCCUGAUUCAAUUGGCACCUUGAGUUCCUUGACUCGCUUGUACCUCUAUGGAUGUCAAUUCUCUGGCCGCAUUCCUGAUUCCAUUGGCAAUCUUACACAAAUUAGGUAUUUGAAUUUUGGUAAUAAUCAUUUCACUGGCAAUAUUCCUUCCACAAUCUCUAAAUUGAAGCACCUCGCAGUUUUAGCUCUUUCAUCUAACUCCUUCGGAGGUGAAAUUCCCAAUUUUUUCUCUAACCUCCAAGAACUACGUUAUUUAAGUCUUUCUAAUUGCAGCUUCAUCGGUCCGUUUCCUUCUCCACUUUUAAGCUUGACACAACUUGAAACCUUAGACUUGUCGAGUAAUUCCCUAUCUGGACCACUGCCUAGAAAUGCAAGCAUGCUUCAAAAGCUAGCCGAGCUGGAUUUGUCUUACAACUCACUGAAUGGUACCAUACCAUCUUGGGUGUUUAGCCUACCUUUGCUAUCUUCAGUGUCGCUCCAUCAUAACCGGUUAAGUGGUUCUUUUCCUCAAUCACCUGUGAAUCUCACAAACCUUUCUACCCUUGACCUUUCAUCAAAUAACAUCACCCUUGAUGCAGGAAUACAAAUCACUUUACCUAGCCUAGUAGUUUUACAGUUAUCAUCUUGUGAACUUAGGGAUUUUCCACACUUCUUGAGAAAUGUAAAGACACUUAUGGUCUUGGAUAUUUCUAACAAUAAGAUUCGUGGUCAAAUCCCUAACUGGUUUAGCGGCAUGAGGUGGGACUCCUUGUUGCACCUAAACCUUUCACAUAACUCAUUAACAGGCCACCUACAGCCAGUGGCGGAGGCAGCAUGUAAUGAGGGGGGGCACCCCCCUCGGCGAAAAAUAUUACUAUUUAUACAUGGUUAAAAUUAUUUUUUAGGUAUGUAUAAUAGAUGUCGAACCCCCUUCCACUAGUUCGUGUGUUUACUUUUCAGAUUUUGAACCCCCUUAUUAAAUUUUCUGGCUCCGCCACUGCCUACAGCAACUUCAUUAUAAUAGUCUAGAGUCUCUUGAUCUUAAAUUUAACUUCCUUGAGGGGGCACUACCUUCAUCCAUUUGUAACAUGAGCAGUCUUAGCCUUCUGGAUUUGUCACACAACUACUUCAGUGACUCGGCUCCGCAUUGCUUGGGCAGCAUGGUUGGGCUAUCUGUGCUAGACUUGAGAAGAAAUAGUUUCACUGGGAGUCUUCCACCGUUUUGUGCGCAGAGCAAUUCAUUGAGAACCAUUGUCUUGAAUGGUAAUCAUUUUGAAGGAACUGUCCCGAUGUCAUUGCUCAAGUGUGAUGGUCUAGAAGUCCUUGAUGUGGGGAACAAUGUUAUAAAUGACACGUUUCCAGCUUGGCUCGGAACUCUUCAAGAGCUGCAGGUACUUAUAUUGAAGUCUAACAAGUUCCAUGGACCUAUAAGUACUAGGCUGAAGUUUGGUUUCCCCGUGUUACGGAUUUUUGAUCUCUCUCAUAAUGAGUUUGGUGGUUCACUGCCUGCAGAAGUUUUUGAAAACUUCAAAGGAAUGAUCAAAACAGAUGAGAGAGACAAAGGAGAGAUCGAAU